rnacentral:rRNA from 1 species
AUUCCUUCGCCUUCAUAGGCGAUGAAGGACGUGGUAAGUUGCGAAAAGAUGCGGGGAUUGGCACACACGAAUGGAUCCGCAGAUGUCCGAAUGGGGCAACCCGGCAGGUUGAAGACAUGUCACUCUAAUUUUAUUUAGAGAGCAAACCCGGAGAACUGAAACAUCUAAGUACCCGGAGGAAAAGAAAUCGAAGAGAUUCCGUAAGUAGUGGCGAGCGAAAGCGGAUUAGCCCAAAAGCUAAUAUAUGUUUAAUAGAAUGUUCUGGAAAGAACAGCCGUAGAGGGUGAUAGCCCCGUAUAUGAAAGGCAUAUUUAAGUGAUAAAUGAGUAGGGCGGGACACGUGAAAUCCUGUCUGAAUAUGGGGGGACCAUCCUCCAAGGCUAAAUACUCCUGAAAGACCGAUAGUGAACAAGUACUGUGAAGGUAAGGAAAAAUGCA